rnacentral:rRNA from 1 species
UCCCAGCAGUCCGAGUCGUGGCCACAUUUAUUAGGUUUAAAACAUCCGUAGCUGGUUUUGUAAGUUCUUUGUGAAAUCCUGGCACUUAAUGCCAGGGCGGGCAAGGGAGACUGCAAGACUUGAGACCGGGAGACGCAAUGGGUACGUUCAAGGUAGCGGUAAAAUGUUUUAAUCUUGGGCGGACCGACAAUGGCGAAGGCACGUUGCGAGAACGGAUCUGACAGUGAGGGAUGAAGGCCUGGGGC